UACGUAGGGGGGCAAGCGUUGUCCGGAUUUAUUGGGCGUAAAGAGCGUGUAGGCGGUCCGGUAAGUCCGCCGUGAAAGUCCAGGGCUCAACCCUGGAAUGCCGGUGGAAACUGUCGGGCUGGAGUCCGGAAGAGGCGAGUGGAAUUCCUGGUGUAGCGGUGAAAUGCGCAGAUAUCAGGAGGAACACCAAUGGCGAAGGCAGCUCGCUGGGACGGUACUGACGCUGAGACGCGAAAGCGUGGGGAGCAAACAGG
rnacentral:rRNA from 1 species